GUCAGCGGCCGGUGCCUGCUGCUGUAGCAACAGCUGCUGGUCCAAUCCCGAAGCCGGCGCUGUGAGCCCCACCAUGGCCUGCAUAACAGGCGCGGCAGCAGGCGCUGCGGCAGCCGGCGCAGCAGAACCCAUCAAACCCGUCAGGCCCGAGAGG
rnacentral:SRP_RNA from 13 species